UAAAGUUUUAUUCUUGUUUGUCGUUAAGUAUUUUUAUUUUAUAAAUACAAAUGUUUAAAGUAAAAAAGAUUAGUAUUAUAAAAAUUUAUUAAAGUAGAAAUUAUGUUAUAGAAAUAAAAAUAAAAAUAGAUAAAAUUGUGCCAGCAACUGCGGUUAAACAAUUGUUUUGAUUUAAUGCUUUAUAGAUUUUAAUUUUUUGAUUGGUUUAACAAAAAUAUUUUUUUUAAGGUGAAAUUUAAAAAAAAAAUACUUGAAUUUAUAAAAGUUAUUUAUUUAUAAAAAUUAAUUUAAUAAACUAGGAUUAGAUACCCUAUUAUAAUUAAUAAAAUAAAAAUUUAGAGUAGUAAAUGAUAAGAUCAGGAAACUCAAAGAAUUUGGCGGUGUUUAUUCUGAAUAGAGGAAUAUGUUUUUUAAUUGAUAAUACACACUUAUUCAACUUAAUUUUAUUUAUUUUGUAUAUCUCCGUCUUAAAAAAUUUUUUUAAAAUAUAUUUUAAUUUUCUAAAAGAAAAAAGUCAGGUCAAGGUGCAGAUUAUAAUUAAGAUAAAAUGUAUUACAAUAAAUUUAUUUACGGAAUCUAAUUUUAAAAAGUUAAAUGAAGUUGGAUUUAUUAGUAAAAUAAUUUAUAUAAUAAUUAUUUGAAGAAUGUUAAUAAGCAUGUACAUAUUGCCCGUCAUUCUCUUUUAAAAAGAGACAAGUCGUAACAAAGUAGAUUUACUGGAAAGUGAAUCUAGAUUCAG
rnacentral:ncRNA from 1 species